rnacentral:rRNA from 1 species
UACGAAGGGGGCUAGCGUUGCUCGGAAUCACUGGGCGUAAGGGGUGCGUAGGCGGGUUUUUAAGUCAGAGGUGAAAUCCUGGAGCUCAACUCCAGAACUGCCUUUGAUACUGAGAAUCUUGAGUACGGGAGAGGUGAGUGGAACUGCGAGUGUAGAGGUGAAAUUCGUAGAUAUUCGCAAGAACACCAGUGGCGAAGGCGGCUCACUGGCCCGCUACUGACACUGAGGCACGAAAGCUAGGGGAGCAAACAGGAGUUAGAAACC